AACCAACCGGAUGCCUUAGUAACGGCGAGUGAAGCGGCAAAAGCUCAAAUUUGAAAUCUGGUACCUUCGGUGCCCGAGUUGUAAUUUGGAGAGGGCAACUUUGGGGCCGUUCCUUGUCUAUGUUCCUUGGAACAGGACGUCAUAGAGGGUGAGAAUCCCGUGUGGCGAGGAGUGCGGUUCUUUGUAAAGUGCCUUCGAAGAGUCGAGUUGUUUGGGAAUGCAGCUCUAAGUGGGUGGUAAAUUCCAUCUAAAGCUAAAUAUUGGCGAGAGACCGAUAGCGAACAAGUACAGUGAUGGAAAGAUGAAAAGAACUUUGAAAAGAGAGUGAAAAAGUACGUGAAAUUGUUGAAAGGGAAGGGCAUUUGAUCAGACAUGGUGUUUUGUGCCCUCUGCUCCUUGUGGGUAGGGGAAUCUCGCAUUUCACUGGGCCAGCAUCAGUUUUGGUGGCAGGAUAAAUCCAUAGGAAUGUAGCUUGCCUCGGUAAGUAUUAUAGCCUGUGGGAAUACUGCC
rnacentral:rRNA from 1 species